UCAAAUUAAUUAUAUUUUGAACGGAGUUUCUAGAGCCUGUUUUGUACACUCAGGAUACGUUUUUCUGUAUUUUUGAACUACCUUAAAUAAAAAUUAAAAACUGAAGUAUUAACUCAAAAAUAUGAUGGCAACAUGCAAAAUACAGCAUUUCUCUCCCUAAUCUUUGUUCCAAUAAAGUACAAGCACCAUGAAGUCUUCCUGUAUUGGAAGCUGUCAUAUCAAAUAUAAAGCCUUGAACUUUAUUACAAUUAUCAACGAAAAUAUUUGUCCUAUAACAAAUUCUAUUAUUCCAAAAAAACGCACGUAUCAUAAAACGAAAAAAAUGAUAAAAUUAUUUCAGAAAAAUGGAAGUCAUGCAAGAUCAGAACAAAAAAUAAUAUAAUGCACCUUCAUUUAAAUCGCCCACAUCAUGGUAUACUUCAGACACAAUUAAUGAGUACAUUAAAAUGAUAGUAAAACGGUCAGAAGGUGAAGUUUAUGCAAUUAUCACUGAUUUUAUUGUAGCGUAUCUUCGAGGAGGUUAUCCAGCUGUAAGAAGAUGGAUAAAAAAAGAUAUUCACACAAUAAAAUUACUUUUUGUGCCCAUGAAUGUAUAUGAGAGUCAUUGGAUAUUGACAGUGGUUAAUAUACCUGAAAAGACUGUGACACAUCAUAUGAUAGUCUUAAGUCGUAUGAGGGUCCCUAUACAAUGGUAUUAAAAAAUUUCUUAAUUGAAUGGGAGAUGGACAAAAAAGGAAAAGCUUCUACAUGGACAUUACAAAUAAGCGAGACAUCUCGCCAAACCAAUGGAUAUGAUUGUGGGCCAUUUACUGUUGAGCUGGCAGAAAAAAUGUCUCGAGGAGAUACAACACCAAUAAAUGCAAAUUUUAUGCCUUUAAUAAGAUUAAGACACAAAAAUGAAAUUAUUGCUGGACCGCUAUUCUUAGUAUAUUCUUAUGAAUGAAAUUUUAUUUUUGUAUUUUAUAUCAAUUUUCUUAAUAUUCACUAUAAAUUGACAUUUUUAUUUGUAUACUACCAAACAUUUUUUUACUUUUUAUAUGUUUAAUUGUUGUUUUUUUUUUUUAUUUUAUAUUAAACUUAUUUUUCUU